AACGCUAGCUACAGGCUUAACACAUGCAAGUCGAGGGGCAUCAGGAAGAAAGCUUGCUUUCUUUGCUGGCGACCGGCGCACGGGUGAGUAACACGUAUCCAACCUGCCCUUUACUCGGGGAUAGCCUUUCGAAAGAAAGAUUAAUACCCGAUAGCAUAAUGAUUCCGCAUGGUUUCAUUAUUAAAGGAUUCCGGUAAAGGAUGGGGAUGCGUUCCAUUAGGUUGUUGGUGAGGUAACGGCUCACCAAGCCUUCGAUGGAUAGGGGCUCUGAGAGGAAGGUCCCCCACAUUGGAACUGAGACACGGUCCAAACUCCUACGGGAGGCAGCAGUGAGGAAUACUGGUCAAUGGACGAGAGUCUGAACCAGCCAAGUAGCGUGCAGGAAGACGGCCCUAUGGGUUGUAAACUGCUUUUAUAAGGGAAUAAAGUGAGUCUCGUGAGACUUUUUGCAUGUACCUUAUGAAUAAGGACCGGCUAAUUCCGUGCCAGCAGCCGCGGUAAUACGGAAGGUCCGGGCGUUAUCCGGAUUUAUUGGGUUUAAAGGGAGCGUAGGCCGGAGAUUAAGCGUGUUGUGAAAUGUAGAUGCUCAACAUCUGCACUGCAGCGCGAACUGGUUUCCUUGAGUACGCACAAAGUGGGCGGAAUUCGUGGUGUAGCGGUGAAAUGCUUAGAUAUCACGAAGAACUCCGAUUG
rnacentral:rRNA from 1 species